UAAAUAGGUCAAAACAAAGCAUAAAAAUGGCCUCUAGGUGAUUUAGUAAACCACUGACGACAAAAUGCUGGUCCGUGUUAAAUUUUUCACAGUUCCAUAGCAAAACAAGAACAAUGUAAUGAGUUUUUCACAAAGCUGAAUUAAUUCAAUUUAAAGAACUGUCAUUUAUUUUUAGAGUAAGUAAAUUUUAAAUGCUAAUGUGUUCAGAAAAACUUUUAUCGUAUCUCCCCUGACUACCAUGUCUUCUCUCUCCAGGUGCUGGCCCUCUUUCAUUGCAAGUUUCCCACUUCUCAUUUCAAUGGAUGCUAUCAAGGUCUUCUCCAUCUAAGACACACAUACCACAGGAAGUCUCCUCAGUGUCUCCAGAAGAGAUAAGAACACAAAGAACACGUGCAUCUUCCACUCGAACAAGCUGCAGUGAGGACCUGAUAGUCAAAAUUACUUGGAGGAAAAUCACAGCUCUUCUCCCCUAGAAAGUCUGCUGAGUCUCACCAGGAGAAUCUCACAGGGAGGCUGCCACGAAUUCUCUCUGCAAGGACUGUGAAACUCAGGGUCCUGGAACCUGGGGAGAUCGAGGGACAACUGUACAUCAGCCUGCUGAGAAAUGUUUUGCAGGAUUCAUGAUUGGGAUCUUCGUACUAAGCCUUUCUUGAGGGAGUGUCUCAGACUCAACCAGCCUCAAUUUUCCCAUGAAUCCUUCUUCAUUGCCUUCCUAGAUUGCUACUCCGCAUCUCAGCUGACCCCAUACAAACAAACUCCAAUAGUGUCUCCAAUCGCGUGCUGUGUUAAAUUUUAACUUUAUAACCAACCAUCAUUUGCUACUUCCAUCUAACCAAGCCAGUUUCCUUAUGAUGCACACACUUGUGUUUAGCUCACAAUUUGUUCUACAUGCUUGCUUAUUUAUUCAUUCAGCAAGUAUUUAUUGAGCCCCAACUGUGCACUAGCUGCUGUCUCAGGUGCUGGGGAGACAGGAAGAUCAAAAUAAAACCCCUGCCUUCAAGUGCCUUAUUGUUUAAGGGUCAACAGAAUAAACACAUAAGUGAAUAUAUAUCAUGUGAGGUGGUAAAAAGGGCUGGGCAGAAAAUAAAGGUUGGAAAAGGAUGGAAAGUACUGGAGGGUGGUGUGAUUUUAGGCUGGAGCGUCAGGAAAAGCAGAGAAGAAAUGACUGUUACAGAUGGAAGUGAGUGGAAUGCUCCAAGCAGAGGGAACAGCAAGUGAAAGCGCCCUGUGGUAGAAGCAUAUUUGGCACAUGUGAGGGACUGCAUAAAGGCCAAUGUGGCUGCAUGGGGGUUUGGGAGAUGUAGGGACAAGGUCAGAGAGGUAGCCAAUGUCAGCAUCAUUGCUGUUAGGACUGGGUGGGACCCCAAAAGAAGUAUUAAAUAGUACCAUCUAGUUUUUGUUCUUGAGGAGGUCACGUGUUAAUAUACUGAUUGUUUGAGGUACAACAGAGUCAAAAAGGGGAUAAUUUAUCGAGGUACAAGCCUAGGAUAUGGGUUGCUCCUGUUGCCCCUAAGUCUACCACGCCUGCACAGAUCCUGCUAGUUCUUUCUUUUUUUUUUUGAGACGGAGUCUCGCUCUGUCGCCCAGGCUGGAGUACAGUGGUGCGAUGGCGGCUCACUGCAAGCUCCGCCUUCCGGGUUCACGCCAUUCUCC
rnacentral:lncRNA from 1 species